rnacentral:lncRNA from 1 species
AGAACCUGAGCGAUUGUUGUGGAUGUCUCCAGGAGAACAUCUGAUGCGUUAGACAAAAGUUCAACAGCUGACAAGCCCGCUCCACCCCACACACUGUAUGUAGCAAAGAAAGCCAUCAAACUUCGUCUUCUUCAUAAGCUUUGCUUUUCGUGCAGAAGGAAAGUGAGAUGUCAACAGAAGACAGAUCUGUAGAAAUAAAAGUCCCCGACUUUAAUCUGUGUUCAACUUGGACUUCUAUGUGUGUCUGGACACAGUAUUCCAGGUCUCCCAACAGAAAUGAUCUUCUGACAGUCCUCUUGCAAGGACAAGAAAGAUCCACCAUCAUCAGAGUCAGCCUUUUUAUCCUGAAAGCUAUCAAGAAAAGAGCACAUUUCCUGAAAGAAGAAUCAGGAAAAUAAGAUUUUGUCGGCAAACAGAAGGUCAGCUGCCUGUCCUCCCAUCCUUUUUGCCUUGUUUUUAUUUAUGUUGCACUUUGAAAUGGUCAUAUGACUGGUCAAACAAAUAAAUUAUUAUUAUUAUUACAUUAAAAGGAAAAGAUGUUUGAGCCAUAAUAUGCACCAACUCCCUCAAUGAAGUAUUGUCAUUCUUGGAAUAAUGAUUCAACCUUCACUAAACCUGUUGAGUUUCUAUUUUGGGGUUGUUUGGAUAUAUUUUUGGUGUGUGUGUAUGGGAGAUAAUAUCUUAUUUUCACCUCGUUUUCGAAGCAUAAGUACUGAAUCCUGCUUUGUUAAACCUUCUUAUGGAUAGAGAUAGAUAGAGAGAGAGGGAAAGGCAGAGAAAAUGCAAGCCAGGAGGGAUCUCUUUGGGAUAAUGCCGGAUUCUGCGCCUGUUGUUGGUCAAUAAGCCCAGCCCUCCAUCUUGCAAGGCUCGAACAAUGGC